CUUGGCACUAAGAACUGCAGUGAAAAAGCUGGAAAACAGAAUUAAAGAAACCCUGAUGCAUCCCUCCACUGUCCUUCCAUAGCAAAUAAGUAGGUGAAAAUGUCAGAAAGGAGGAGGGAACUUGGUACCAAAUAUAGGAUCAAAGAAUAUGAAACACAGGAGACAAUAAAAAGAAAGCAAGCAAGAAGAAGAGGUAUUAAAAAGGACGAAGCACACACUGGGUAAGGAUUGCACUGAGGCAGAAUGAGGCUUUCAGACCCACCACAAGACAGCCAGCCGAA